UAAAGAUAUCGCCUAUUUAAACAUUUCCUUCGAGUUUUGUGGCGAUGGGAGCUCCAGAUAAUCAGCGGGCGCUCCGCGCGUAAAUAUACCGGACAACGGCACCUCACCUCGGCCAGUCUCUCUGAAAAUCUCCGCUGGCUGUGACGUCAAUGUAGUGUUUAAACUGUGGAUAAAAUUCAUUUCGGGUAAAUUUAACGGGCAAUCUUUGGUCUUAUAAGUCUAUAAGAAGUGUUUCUUUGUAUAAUUUGUUUGUAAUUUGUAAAUAUUAAUUACAAUAAGGAUUAAUAUGAACUGGGUUUGGACGUAACUUCAGCUUUAGGACCCAGGAGGUCGCAUAUCUAGGAUGCAUUCGUCGAUUCGCAUGCUGCGAUUGGUGGUCCAGAUGCAACUCAUUUUGAGUGACAGAAAAACUGACCAAUCAUACUGUUCCUCUGAAUGGGUGGGUUCUCUUAUCACUAACUCUCAUAGAUAUGUAUCAUGUAUGUAUCUAUUAUGACAAAUUCUGCUCGCUCGCUCGCUUGGUUCGUGUUAUAAAAAUAAAUGUGACUUUACUGCGGUCUUUUUCGGUUUAUUUAGUUUUGUGUUAACUAUAUCUACAAAGUAUUCGAAUAAAUUGGUAAUGUAAAACUAUUCUUCGCUGUAAAUUAAUUGUGUGCUCAAUUGCGACGCCCUGUGUUGAAUUUUCCCGCGAGUACAGUAUCAUUACUGAGGGGAAAUAUAACAUUAUUCAUUUAAUUCCACAAAAGGCCUGUAACGUACUGCAGCUUCCUGCAGGCAACGUGAAACAUUGCUGAGGGAGAACUUUAUUCACAACAAAAGGAUAAAGAUGAAGAGGCGGGACUUGAGCAGCUUGUGAUGGCUGUAAUUGUAAAGAAUGGAUCUUCUAGGAGUGGAAGCCCAAAGGAUGCUGGAAUUGUUAUCGAGGCCUUAAAGGUGUUCCCAGGGCAUGCUUUAUCCUUGGAUCUAUGCAUUGAAUCUCCAGUAUCCCAGGCAUCUUUUCAGGUGUUUCAGAAACUUUUCUUGGAGCUGGAUUAUUCAAAGUUUAUGAACUGAUUACAGUACAGUAAGUCUAAACUGCUGUCUGAUUUUCUGGGUGUGAAUCAAUGUAACAGAACACAAACAUGGAACCUUUCGUCGGGAAAUGUGGACGGUUUUCUUUAAAGACUGUAAAAUACUUUUUGAAGUUUACACUGUUACAAAUACAUCAUUAAAAUGAGAUGCUUUCCUGUUCUUUUGACUGCAAUAAAAUAAGAAUUAAUUCAUCUUUGUCUGUCAUUCUGAAAUCAGAUAUAAUACUCAUUACUAAUAAAAAUAUUAAUGGAUGAUGUUAAAUUAAAAUAGUAUAAUUGAAUAGUAUUUAUUGUAUAGUGCUAGGUCUUUGUCCUGUAUACCCAAUAUUUUGUUUAAAUUUAAAUUAAUUUCUAAUUGCAAAUUGCAGUUAACCUUUUUGAAUGGGUUACUAUUAAAGAGUUUAUGGAGUGAUUCUAACACAAUUUUUAUUUGUUGAAUUUAAUUAAUGAUAUUGCUUGUAAUCUGUUGCCACACUUUUAUUGAGUAGAUAUGGCAUAAUAUUUUUUAUUGUACAGUGCUAGAACUUUGUCUAGUAUACCCAAUAUUUUUGUUUAAAUUUUAAUAAAAAAUUUAAUUGCAA